rnacentral:rRNA from 1 species
AUUGAACGCUGGCGGCAUGCCUUACACAUGCAAGUCGAACGGCAGCACGGGAGCAAUCCUGGUGGCGAGUGGCGAACGGGUGAGUAAUAUAUCGGAACGUGCCCAGUAGUGGGGGAUAACUGCUCGAAAGAGCAGCUAAUACCGCAUACGACCUGAGGGUGAAAGCGGGGGAUCGCAAGACCUCGCGCUAUUGGAGCGGCCGAUAUCAGAUUAGCUAGUUGGUGGGGUAAAAGCUCACCAAGGCGACGAUCUGUAGCUGGUCUGAGAGGACGACCAGCCACACUGGGACUGAGACACGGCCCAGACUCCUACGGGAGGCAGCAGUGGGGAAUUUUGGACAAUGGGCGCAAGCCUGAUCCAGCCAUGCCGCGUGCGGGAAGAAGACCUUCGGGUUGUAAACCGCUUUUGUCAGGGAAGAAACGGCUCCUACUAAUACUGGGGGCUAAUGACGGUACCUGAAGAAUAAGGACCGGCUAACUACGUGCCAGCAGCCGCAGUAA